AUGGAUGUCCUGGGGCUGCUUCUCUGCCUGGUGGCUGCUCCCUGCUGUGUCCUGUCCCAGGUGCAGCUGCAGGAGUCAGGUCCUGGCCUGGUGAAACCCUCACAGACCCUGUCUCUCACCUGCUCUGUCUCUGGAUUCUCUUUAACCAGCUAUCAUGUGCACUGGAUCCGCCAGCCUCCAGGAAAGGGGCUGGAGUGGGUUGGUGUGAUAUGGGGUGGUGGAAGCACAAAUUAUAAUACAGAUCUUAAAUCCCGAGUCACCAUCACCAGGGACACCUCCAAGAGCCAAUCUUAUUUAACAUUGGGCAGCCUGAUAGUCGAGGACACGGCCGUGUAUUACUGUGCCCAAGUCACCCUGAAGGAGUCUGGUCCUGGGCCAGUGAAGCCCACGCAGACGCUCACGCUGACCUGCACCUUCUCUGGGUUCUCACUGACCACUUCUGGUAUUGGUGUGAGCUGGACCCGUCAGCCCCCAGGGAAGGCACUGGAGUGGCUUGCAAAUAUUUGGUGGGAUGAUUAUAAAUACUACAGCCCAUCCCUGAAGAGCCGGCUCACAAUCUCCAAGGACACCUCCAAAAACCAGGUGGUCCUAACAAUGACCAACAUGGACCCUGCAGACACAGCCACAUAUUACUGUGCACGGAGAGCACAGAGACACAGUUCGGGGUGA